rnacentral:misc_RNA from 1 species
GAUGAAGAACGUAGCGAAAUGCGAUAAGUAGUGUGAAUUGCAGAAUUCAGUGAAUCAUCGAGUCUUUGAACGCACAUUGCGCCCCCUAGUAUUCCGGGGGGCAUGCCUGUCCGAGCGUCAUUGCUGCCCUCAAGCACGGCUUGUGUGUUGGGCCUCCGUCCUCCUCCCGGGGGACGGGCCCGAAAGGCAGCGGCGGCACCGCGUCCGGUCCUCGAGCGUAUGGGGCUUCGUCACCCGCUCUUGUAGGCCCGGCCGGCGCUUGCCGACACAUCAAUCUUUUUUCCAGGUUGACCUCGGAUCAGGUAGGGAUACCCGCUGAACUUAAGCAUAUCAAUAAGCGGAGGA